UUCAAAAAUUGGUAUAUUCCCCCUAACACAGAACUUUUGCCCAAAAUGGUAGACUUCUACACUUUGAAUGCUUGACAGCAUGUGAUUAUUUUAUCAUAAUAAGGCAAAAGCUAGAGGAAUAAUUUAAUAGUAAAUUUGUUGAUAAAGAAAACAUAUUAAAAUGAAAGGAAAUGAGGUAGUGGAUCACAAUAUAUAAGCAGGGCAUGCAUUGGAUUAAAGCACAAGAAACUGAAAGAUUAAGAAGAGAAAGACAUGGCAGGAGAAUGGAGAAAACUCAUAUUAGUGGCAUUUAUCUUUCUAGCCAUUGCUUCUGGAUGGAUGAUGGUGGAGACGGAAGGAAAGCUUUGCUUCAAGCGGAUCCCGAAGUUCAAGGGAAGGUGUAAUUCAAAUGCUGUAUGUACCAAAGCUUGCAAUACCGGAAUGAAAGGAAUUUGCUCGAAUGUUUUUUAUUGCAUUUGUACCAUCAUUUGUUGACUUUGUCAUUGUAAUCAUGUUUUACAGUUUUAAUCUGCAUGGUUUAAAAUUGACAGAAGUUGUUAUCUUUGAAAUGAUCAAUAAAUAAGUUGUUGAUCGCCGCUGUUCAA